rnacentral:rRNA from 1 species
AUUGAACGCUGGCGGAAUGCUUUACACAUGCAAGUCGAACGGCAGCACGGACUUCGGUCUGGUGGCGAGUGGCGAACGGGUGAGUAAUGUAUCGGAACGUGCCCAGUCGUGGGGGAUAACGUAGUGAAAAUUACGCUAAUACCGCAUACGAUCUAUGGAUGAAAGCGGGGGAUCGCAAGACCUCGCGCGAUUGGAGCGGCCCAGAUCAGAUUAGGUUGUUGGUGGGGUAAAGGCCCACCAAGCCAACGAUCUGUAGCUGGGCUGAGAGGACGACCAGCCACACUGGAACUGAGACACGGGCCAGAGUCCUACGGGAGGCAGCAGUGGGGAAUUUUGGAAAAGGGGCGAAAGCCUGAUCCAGCCAUUCCGCGUGCAGGAUGAAGGCCCUCGGGUUGUAAACUGCUUUUGUACAGAACGAAAAGGUUUCUACUAAUACUAGGAGCUCAUGACGGUACUGUAAGAAUAAGCACCGGCUAACUACGUGCCAGCCGCCGCAGUAA